UUUACUUUUAACGUAUCCAGAUUUUGAGUACUUCUCACUAUCUCCUCUGCUACUACCAUAUUCUCAGCUACCAUCAUCAAGCUGUGGAUAAUUGCAUUUGCUUCUUAACUGCCUCUCGCUUCUUGUCACCGUUUCAGUUUGGUCUUUUUUCACCCAAGCUAGAGUCAGCCUGCUCGUGAGUCAGGUCAUGUCACUUUUCAAAACCCUCCAGUGGCUUUCAAUUUCACUCUAAAAGAGUCCUAACAGAGGCCCUCCAGAUCACGAUUCUACAUACUGUAUUCUACUAAUUUAUCCUGCUCAUUGGCUCUCUAUUAGAAGGCAGAUUUUUGUGAAGGCAGGGAUUUUUCAUUCCAUUUGUUCACUGCUAGAGCUGUGACUAGCACAUGGUAUGUGCUCAGAAAACAUAAGGUUUGUUGGAUGAAUGUCUUAAUUAUGAGUUGAUAAUGGCUCAUUAUUGUCUAAAACUGAACUCCUGGUUUUCCCUUUCUAAAUCUAUUUCUUUUACUGUGGACUCUAUUUUUCCUGAUGAUGAUGAGUCUUCCUACUCUCCAGGCUGGAGCUGGACAUCACAGUUGAGGCUAAGAAUACUGUACACAAAGAUUCUUGAUGUUCUUGAGCAAAUUCCUAAAAAUGCAGCAUAUAGAAAGUAUACAGAACAGAUUACAAAUGAAAAGUUGAGUAUGGUUAAAGCGAGUAAAGAAGAAAAUGAAAGCAAAACAAACAAAAAAUGUGUGUUGUGUUUAAAGAAAAUUGUCAGAAAUAACUAUUUUAAAAAGUGCUUUGUUGCAAAGAGACCAGGAACCAGAUGUUAAGAAAUUAGAAGACCAACUUCAGGGUGGCCAACUGGAAGAGGUGAUUCUUCAGGCUGAAAAUGAACUAAGUCUGGC